CCUCCCCGGGCCCCAGCGAGCGGCAGUGGGAGGGCGGCGGGCUCGGACCGCAGCACAUCGUUCAAAAGAAACCAAGCGUCGAGAGACAACGAAAUGGAGGAAAAAUGGCCGAGUGCCGGCCGGCUGCGAAAGGCCGGUGGAGGACGCGAGGCCCUGCGGAGCGGCUGCUGCCCCGAUCCGCAGAGAUCCCGAGCCAUCGCUGCCAAACACAUCCCUGCUCCUGGGGGAAAGCAAGAUGGGGCCGGAGGAUGGCUGCUUUCCCUGCAGUGCCCCUCCAUCUUACAGAAUUCGGAGCAGUCAGGGCUUCCCCUCGUAGUAAAGAAAUCUAAAUUUGCGUUGCGCUGAUGGAUAAAAUAUUUAAGCUCAAGAUGCCGCUUUUCCCCUCACUCCAUGUUACCUGCCCACCAUCACCAGGCUCCCUGCAGAAAUCCAGGGUGCAGUGGCUGUGUGUGGAACCUGCUUGGUGCAGAGUGGGAAUUUCACCAAACCAAAACCCAUACACAAAAAUAAAGCCUGGUCUGUCCUAUUAAAAAAAAAAAAAAAAUUUAAAAAAAUGCACAUACAGGAUUAGUAAGAGCAGAUGCAACUUGAAAACCAAGAGCUAAAUUGAUUUAUAGCCAUGGUUACUCGAAAUGCUCAGAGUUUAAUCUAUUCAUAGAAAUGCUCUAGAAAUCCCACAGGAUUCCAAUGGAAUAAAAAGGAGCAGUGCUCUUAGGCAGGCAUUAUUUAUACACCUUGCUCCUAAAGCAACAGCUUUCUCAUGCAGUUGGAAGAGUUGUGGGUGGCAGCACACAAUGGUAAAAGGAUAACAAAUAUUGAACAGCUUUCUUAAAUUAGCAUUUUCCUUACAUUUUACCUUUUAAACUGAUUGUUUUGUUUUACCUCACAGGCCCAAGUAACCUUGUGGUUAACACUUUAUGAGCUACAUGACAGAUCCUACCCAAAAUGGGCUCAAUGUGAAGAAUUUUACCAGCAAAAAACCUCUAAACAGAGCUGGUGAUUUAAGGAAAUUACAUUUUUAAAUCCUUUCAGUGAACUCACGAGACGCGUCACUGUUUCACAGCCACGGAACUGUGUGAGAACGACUGAGGAUUUCUGGAGCCCGAGACUUUCUGAGAGACAUCAGCACCUGCAGAGCCAAAGCUGACAUUCUGGAUGUCAAUGAUGUUGUGACAAAGAACAGCCAACAGUGGAUGUGAUGGCUUAGCUGGAGAAAAAAUUCAGGAUUCAGUCAAGAAAGAAAGGAAACAAUUCCUGAUGGAGAAUCAUGUUCCCUUUUGCCUCUCCUGUCCACGAUCCAGGAGUAUCUCUUCAUCAUUCCACGGAGCCCACGUGGCAAGUGCCAAGGCAGGCUGUGUCCUACAGCUCCCUGGAGACCAUGCAGCAGAUCCAGCAAACCCCUGUGCUGUUCAGCUGGGGAAAGGUGUGUUCACUUCAGCAUUUCAAAAUAAAAAAGUCUAUUUCAAGGGUUGUAACCACAGCAGGAGUUCUGCCAAUCUCAGCUGUCCAGUGCUGGCGAGUUUCAGGCCGCUGCAGCCUCCUGCUGUGGGGACAGUGAGUCACAGCCAGGGCUGACCUGCUGCUCCACUUGCUGAUGUCAAAACUUGACCACAGGCUGAGGUCCCAGUGCCAAAGCUUUUCCAGGCACUUGUGGGUUCAGAUGAGGGGUAAGGGAAAGUCACAGACCAGCCCGAGCUGGAACCUUUCCUUUCACCACAAGCCCCAUUUCCUUGGGAAAUCCAUGGGAAGUCUCCCAAGGGAGGGAGCCUGGGGAGCCUGAUGAUCUACAGCAGUGAAUAAAUACCCACACAGACACUGCAGGUCCUCUGCUCACCUGGGAUGGUUUAAAGAGAAGCUGGAAGGCUCACAAGGACUGAGAGUUAUUUGGGUUAAUGCAAAGCAUUCUACAAUUCUUGUUUUUUCUGCACAAGCUGCCCAGAGAUGACUGCCCAACCUUAUCUGCUCCUAUCAGCUUAGCUGAGCCAAACUUCACCAGCUCACAGAAGACCAAGAGCUCGUUGGGACAGCUUUGCCUUCGAGUUCAAAAUUAUCAGACUUCCAAAAUAAUCUCCUCCCUCCCCUCCAGUGGAACACACACACAGAAAGAACUGCACGCUGGUUUAAUUUUCCAUCACAUUUUUUGAAAAUGAAUUCCAAGAUACAGUACAGCAUCUUUAGUGUUCUACACAAAGCAAGCCUUCAGCAAAAGGUCAGAGGAUCUUAAUGGUGUAAAAAUAUAUCUUAAAUAAAAUAGUUUCUCUAGGAGAGCAAGCCGUGCUGUACAUCUCGAGGUCCUUAGAGUCAUUUACAGAAGGCAGAGGCCUGGUAGUACAAUCCACACACUGGAAAAGUGAGUGUACAUUCCU